rnacentral:rRNA from 1 species
UACGGAGGGGGCAAGCGUUACUCGGAAUUAUUGGGCGUAAAGGGCGCGUAGGCGGUCGUGUGCGUCGGAGGUGAAAUCCCCGGGCUUAACCCGGGAGCUGCCUCCGAUACGGCAUGGCUUGAGUCCGGGAGAGGGGAGCAGAAUUCCCAGUGUAGCGGUGAAAUGCGUAGAUAUUGGGAGGGAUACCGGUGGCGAAGGCGGCUCCCUGGACCGGUACUGACGCUGAGGCGCGAAAGCGUGGGUAGCAAACAGG